UACGAAGGGGGCUAGCGUUGCUCGGAAUCACUGGGCGUAAAGCGCACGUAGGCGGCUUUCUAAGUCAGGGGUGAAAUCCUGGAGCUCAACUCCAGAACUGCCUUUGAUACUGGAGCUUGAGUCCGGGAGAGGUGAGUGGAACUCCGAGUGUAGAGGUGAAAUUCGUAGAUAUUCGGAAGAAACACCAGUGGCGAAGGCGGCUCACUGGCCCGGUACUGACGCUGAGGUGCGAAAGCGUGGGGAGCAAACAGG
rnacentral:rRNA from 1 species